rnacentral:rRNA from 1 species
UGGGGAAUAUUGCACAAUGGGGGAAACCCUGAUGCAGCGACGCCGCGUGAACGAAGAAGGUAUUCGUAUCGUAAAGUACUGUCCUAUGGGAAGAUAAUGACAGUACCAUAGAAGAAAGCUCCGGCUAAAUACGUGCCAGCAGCCGCGGUAAUACGUAUGGAGCGAGCGUUGUCCGGAAUUAUUGGGCGUAAAGGGUACGCAGGCGGUUUAAUAAGUCGAAUGUUAAAGAUCGGGGCUCAACCCCGCAAAGCAUUGGAAACUGAUAAACUUGAGUAGUGGAGAGGAAAGUGGAAUUCCUAGUGUAGUGGUGAAAUACGUAGAUAUUAGGAGGAAUACCAGUAGCGAAGGCGACUUUCUGGACACAAACUGACGCUGAGGUACGAAAGCGUGGGGAGCAAACAGG